rnacentral:rRNA from 1 species
GUGCCAACAGCCGCGGUAAUACCGGCAGCCCGAGUGAUGGCCGAUCUUAUUGGGCCUAAAGCGUCCGUAGCUGGCUGCGCAAGUCCGUCGGGAAAUCCACUCGCCCAACGAGUGGGCGUCCGACGGAAACUGCACAGCUUGGGACCGGAAGGCUCGAAGGGUACGGCCGGGGUAGGAGUGAAAUCCUGUAAUCCCGUCCGGACCACCGAUGGCGAAAGCACUUCGAGAAAACGGAUCCGAUAGUGAGGGACGAAAGCUAAGAUCGCGAACCGGAUUAGAUACCCGGGUAGUCC